GACAAUAAUUUAAUAGUGAAGUUGAAGCAAAGAGAGUGACCACCUGUGAGAGAAAGAUGCAGGUUCCCUCUGUGUGCCGGGCAGUAUGCCAGUUAAUUCAAGUGCAUGUCAGACCCAGAGGGUGACAUCCUGUGACUCAGAUGCUGGGGCCCUCAUGAUGCCUGGUAAGGAUGAACCGUUGUCCACAUUCUCUUCUCUGAGUCAAAGAGGAGGAAGAUCUGUCCAUCGAAACUGAACUGCCAAGAUCCGCUGCUGUGUCCUUCGGCUUUCUGCUCACAAGACAUCCUUGCCUGCAGGGUGAGGGGUUCUGCCCCCAUCAGAGAGAGAUCAGCUCUGGCCUUGACAGAUAUUGAGCCCCCAUCCUCUUCCACUUGCAAUUUCCUGGUCUUACUUGCUCUGCCACAUCCUGGCCUUGCCUCUAGACGUCUUGCGGGGUAAGAUGACCUUCCUAUUUGUAUUUUUACAUGAAAACUAUAAAUGUCUCUAACCUA
rnacentral:antisense_RNA from 1 species